rnacentral:lncRNA from 1 species
UGGAACGUUGUAGAGCGAACUGGAUUAUGAAAUUUAUACCACAGAAACUUCAAGAUGUUAACUCAAUAAUGGCACUGGAAUCAAUUAAAAACAGUAAGCCAAUUGAGAGAAAUAAAUUAGUCUAAAGGGUAUGGAGAUAUCCAUUUCAUGUCAAAAACGCAUCCUUUUCAAAUUCUUUUAUAAUUGAAUAUUCGAUUAUAUAUAUCUAUUCAUUCUAUUUAUUUGAUUUCGAUAAAUAUCAAAUACAAUUUUUAAUUCAAAUUGAAAAGUUUAAAU